GGACAUUGUAUGCAAUGAAAGUUGCACGUGCAGUGUUAAGCCGGGGAUAGCUUCAAUAUCUUUCCUAUCGCAAC
rnacentral:misc_RNA from 1 species